rnacentral:rRNA from 1 species
UACAGAGGUGGCAAGCGUUGUUCGGAAUUACUGGGCGUAAAGGGCGCGUAGGCGGCCCUCUCAGUCAGACGUGAAAUCCCCAGGCUCAACUUGGGAACUGCGUCUGAUACUGGAGGGCUCGAGUGCGGGAGAGGGAUGUGGAAUUCCAGGUGUAGCGGUGAAAUGCGUAGAUAUCUGGAGGAACACCGGUGGCGAAGGCGGCAUCCUGGACCGACACUGACGCUGAGGCGCGAAAGCCAGGGGAGCAAACGGG